ACUUUUAAAGGAUAAUAGUAAUCCUCUGGUCUUAGGAACCAAUAAUCUUAGUGCAAUUCUAAGUAAAAGUU
rnacentral:tRNA from 1 species